UACGAAGGGGGGCUAGCGUUGUUCGGAAUUACUGGGCGUAAAGCGCACGUAGGCGGACAUUUAAGUCAGGGGGUGAAAUCCCAGAGCUCAACUCUGGAACUGCCUUUUGAUACUGGGGUGUCUUGAGUAUGGAAGAGGUGAGUGGAAUUCCGAGUGUAGAGGUGAAAAUUCGUAGAUAUUCGGAGGAACACCAGUGGCGAAGGCGGCUCACUGGUCCAUUACUGACGCUGAGGUGCGAAAGCGUGGGGAGCAAAACAGG
rnacentral:rRNA from 1 species